rnacentral:rRNA from 1 species
AACGAACGCUGGCGGCAGGCUUAACACAUGCAAGUCGAGCGCCCCGCAAGGGGAGCGGCAGACGGGUGAGUAACGCGUGGGAAUCUACCCAUCUCUACGGAUUAACGCAUGGAAACGUGUGCUAAUACCGUAUACGUCCUUCGGGAGAAAGAUUUAUCGGAGAUGGAUGAGCCCGCAUUGGAUUAGCUAGUUGGUGGGGUAAAGGCCUACCAAGGCGACGCUCCAUAGCUGGUCUGAGAGGAUGAUCAGCCACACUGGGACUGAGACACGGCCCAGACUCAAACGGGAGGCAGCAGGGGGGAAUAGUGGACAAUGGGCGCACGCCUGAUCCAGCCAGGCCGCGUGUGUGAUGAAGGCCCUAGUGUGGUAAAACUCUUUCACCGGUGAAGAUAAUGACGGUAACCGGAGAAGAAGCCCCGGCUAACUUCGUGCCAGCCGCCGCGGUAACAC